rnacentral:misc_RNA from 1 species
AACGGGGGGGACGAGUGUUAUUCGGAAUGACUGGGCGUAAAGGGUGUGUAGGUAGAUUAAAAAGUUAAAGGGAAAUUCCAAGGCUUAACUUUGGAAAGAGAAUUAAAACUAUUAAUCUAGAGUAUAGUAGAGGAUUAUAGAAUUUCUUAAGUAGAGAUGAAAUGCGUUGAGAUAAGAAGGAAUUCCGAUGGCGAAAGCAGUAACCUGGACUAUUACUGACACUGAGACACGAAGGCAUGGGUAUCAAACGGG